rnacentral:rRNA from 1 species
UACGUAGGGGGCUAGCGUUGUCCGGAUUUAUUGGGCGUAAAGAGCGUGUAGGCGGCCAGGUAGGUCUGCUGUGAAAACUCGAGGCUCAACCUCGAGACGUCGGCGGAAACCAUCUGGCUAGAGUCCGGAAGAGGAGAGUGGAAUUCCUGGUGUAGCGGUGAAAUGCGCAGAUAUCAGGAGGAACACCAUGGCGAAGGCAGCAC